rnacentral:rRNA from 1 species
CUAUCAUUAACUGAAUCCAUAGGUUAAUGAGGCGAACCGGGGGAACUGAAACAUCUAAGUACCCCGAGGAAAAGAAAUCAACCGAGAUUCCCCCAGUAGCGGCGAGCGAACGGGGAGGAGCCCAGAGCCUGAAUCAGCAUGUGUGUUAGUGGAAGCGUCUGGAAAGGCGCGCGAUACAGGGUGACAGCCCCGUACACAAAAGCGCAUGUGCUGUGAGCUCGAUGAGUAGGGCGGGACACGUGGUAUCCUGUCUGAAUAUGGGGGGACCAUCCUCCAAGGCUAAAUACUCCUGACUGACCGAUAGUGAACCAGUACCGUGAGGGAAAGGCGAAAAGAACCCCGGCGAGGGGAGUGAAAAAGAACCUGAAACCGUGUACGUACAAGCAGUGGGAGCACCCUUUGGGUGUGACUGCGUACCUUUUGUAUAAUGGGUCAGCGACUUAUAUUCUGUAGCAAGGUUAACCGAAUAGGGGAGCCGGAGGGAAACCGAGUCUUAACCGGGCGUUAAGUUGCAGGGUAUAGACCCGAAACCCGGUGAUCUAGCCAUGGGCAGGUUGAAGGUUGGGUAACACUAACUGGAGGACCGAACCGACUAAUGUUGAAAAAUUAGCGGAUGACCUGUGGCUGGGGGUGAAAGGCCAAUCAAACCGGGAGAUAGCUGGUUCUCCCCGAAAGCUAUUUAGGUAGCGCCUCGUGAAUUCAUCUCCGGGGGUAGAGCACUGUUUCGGCUAGGGGGCCAUCCCGGCUUACCAACCCGAUGCAAACUGCGAAUACCGGAGAAUGUUAUCACGGGAGACACACGGCGGGUGCUAACGUCCGUCGUGAAGAGGGAAACAACCCAGACCGCCAGCUAAGGUCCCAAAGUCAUGGUUAAGUGGGAAACGAUGUGGGAAGGCCCAGACAGCCAGGAUGUUGGCUUAGAAGCAGCCAUCAUUUAAAGAAAGCGUAAUAGCUCACUGGUCGAGUCGGCCUGCGCGGAAGAUGUAACGGGGCUAAACCAUGCACCGAAGCUGCGGCAGCGACACUGUGUGUUGUUGGGUAGGGGAGCGUUCUGUAAGCCUGUGAAGGUGUGUCGUGAGGCAUGCUGGAGGUAUCAGAAGUGCGAAUGCUGACAUAAGUAACGAUAAAGCGGGUGAAAAGCCCGCUCGCCGGAAGACCAAGGGUUCCUGUCCAACGUUAAUCGGGGCAGGGUGAGUCGACCCCUAAGGCGAGGCCGAAAGGCGUAGUCGAUGGGAAACGGGUUAAUAUUCCCGUACUUGGUGUUACUGCGAAGGGGGGACGGAGAAGGCUAUGUUGGCCGGGCGACGGUUGUCCCGGUUUAAGCGUGUAGGUGUGUGUUCCAGGUAAAUCCGGUUCACUUUAACACUGAGGCGUGACGACGAGGCACUACGGUGCUGAAGCAACAAAUGCCCUGCUUCCAGGAAAAGCCUCUAAGCAUCAGGUAACAUCAAAUCGUACCCCAAACCGACACAGGUGGUCAGGUAGAGAAUACCAAGGCGCUUGAGAGAACUCGGGUGAAGGAACUAGGCAAAAUGGUGCCGUAACUUCGGGAGAAGGCACGCUGACACGUAGGUGAAGUGAUUUACUCAUGGAGCUGAAGUCAGUCGAAGAUACCAGCUGGCUGCAACUGUUUAUUAAAAACACAGCACUGUGCAAACACGAAAGUGGACGUAUACGGUGUGACGCCUGCCCGGUGCCGGAAGGUUAAUUGAUGGGGUCAGCGCAAGCGAAGCUCCUGAUCGAAGCCCCGGUAAACGGCGGCCGUAACUAUAACGGUCCUAAGGUAGCGAAAUUCCUUGUCGGGUAAGUUCCGACCUGCACGAAUGGCGUAAUGAUGGCCAGGCUGUCUCCACCCGAGACUCAGUGAAAUUGAACUCGCUGUGAAGAUGCAGUGUACCCGCGGCAAGACGGAAAGACCCCGUGAACCUUUACUAUAGCUUGACACUGAACAUUGAGCCUUGAUGUGUAGGAUAGGUGGGAGGCUUUGAAGUGUGGACGCCAGUCUGCAUGGAGCCGACCUUGAAAUACCACCCUUUAAUGUUUGAUGUUCUAACGUGGACCCGUUACCCGGGUUGCGGACAGUGUCUGGUGGGUAGUUUGACUGGGGCGGUCUCCUCCUAAAGAGUAACGGAGGAGCACGAAGGUUGGCUAAUCCUGGUCGGACAUCAGGAGGUUAGUGCAAUGGCAUAAGCCAGCUUGACUGCGAGCGUGACGGCGCGAGCAGGUGCGAAAGCAGGUCAUAGUGAUCCGGUGGUUCUGAAUGGAAGGGCCAUCGCUCAACGGAUAAAAGGUACUCCGGGGAUAACAGGCUGAUACCGCCCAAGAGUUCAUAUCGACGGCGGUGUUUGGCACCUCGAUGUCGGCUCAUCACAUCCUGGGGCUGAAGUAGGUCCCAAGGGUAUGGCUGUUCGCCAUUUAAAGUGGUACGCGAGCUGGGUUUAGAACGUCGUGAGACAGUUCGGUCCCUAUCUGCCGUGGGCGCUGGAGAACUGAGGGGGGCUGCUCCUAGUACGAGAGGACCGGAGUGGACGCAUCACUGGUGUUCGGGUUGUCAUGCCAAUGGCACUGCCCGGUAGCUAAAUGCGGAAGAGAUAAGUGCUGAAAGCAUCUAAGCACGAAACUUGCCCCGAGAUGAGUUCU